UACAGAGGUCUCAAGCGUUGUUCGGAAUCACUGGGCGUAAAGGGUGCGUAGGCCGCACGGUAAGUCAGAGGUGAAAUCCCGGAGCUCAACUUCGGAAUUGCCUCCGAUACUGCCGUGCUUGAGGACUGGAGAGGAGAUUGGAAUUCACAGUGGAGCAGUGAAAUGCGUAGAUAUUGUGAGGAACACUAGUGGCGAAGGCGAAUCUCUGGACAGUUCCUGACGCUGAGGCACGAAGGCCAGGGGAGCGAACGGG
rnacentral:rRNA from 1 species